CCUACGGGUGGCUGCAGUGAGGAAUAUUGGUCAAUGGGCGGGAGCCUGAACCAGCCAAGUCGCGUGAGGGAAGACGGUCCUAUGGAUUGUAAACCUCUUUAGGCGGGGAGCAAUGCCGGGCACGCGUGCCCGGAUGGAGAGUACCCGCAGAAUAAGCACCGGCAAACUCCGUGCCAGCAGCGGCGGUAAUACGUGGUAUGCGAGCGUUAUCCGGAUUGAUUGGGUUAAAGGGGGGCGUAGGCGGAUUGUUAAGUAAGCGGUAAAAUGUCGGGGCUCAACCCGGCCCGGCCGUUGAAACUGGUGAUCUUGAGUGGGCGAGAGGUAUGCGGAAUGCGUGGUGUAGCGGUGAAAUGCAUAGAUAUCACGCAGAACUCCGAUUGCGAAGGCAGCAUACCGGCGCCCGACUGACGCUGAGGCACGAAAGCGUGGGGAUCGAACAGGAUUAGAUACCCUAGUAGUC
rnacentral:rRNA from 1 species